AACGAACGCUGGCGGCAUGCCUAACACAUGCAAGUCGAACGAAGCCUUCGGGCUUAGUGGCGCACGGGUGCGUAACGCGUGGGAAUCUGCCCUUGGGUUCGGAAUAACAGUUAGAAAUGACUGCUAAUACCGGAUGAUGUCUUCGGACCAAUGAUUUAUCGCCCAAGGAUGAGCCCGCGUAGGAUUAGGUAGUUGGUGGGGUAAUGGCCCACCAAGCCGACGAUCCUUAGCUGGUCCGAGAGGAUGAUCAGCCUCACUGGGACUGAGACACGGCCCAGACUCCUACGGGAGGCAGCAGUGGGGAAUAUUGGACAAUGGGCGAAAGCCUGAUCCAGCAAUGCCGCGUGAGUGAUGAAGGCCUUAGGGUUGUAAAGCUCUUUUACCAGGGAUGAUAAUGACAGUACCUGGAGAAUAAGCUCCGGCUAACUCCGUGCCAGCCGCCGCGGUAAGAC
rnacentral:rRNA from 1 species